GAUGAACGCUGGCGGCGUGCCUAAUACAUGCAAGUCGAGCGAACAGACGCGGAGCUUGCUGCUCUGACGUUAGCGGCGGACGGGUGAGUCACACGUGGAUAACCUCCCUAUAAGACUGGGAUAACUUCGGGAAACCGGCGCUAAUACCGGAUGAUAUCUUGAACCGCAUGGUUCAAUAGUGAAAGACGGUGUUGCUGUCUCUUCUAGAUGGAUCCGCGCGGCAUUAGCUGGUUGGUAAGGUAACGGCUUACCAAGGCAACGAGGCGUAUCCGACGGGAGAGAGGGAUAGGCCACCUGGGAAGGGAGACACGGUCAAGAGGCCUACGGGAGGGAGCAGUAGGGUACGGUCCGCAAUGGGCGGAAGCCUGACGGAGCAACGCCGCGUGAGUGAUGAAGGUCUUCGGAGCGUAAAACUCUGUUAUUAGGGAAGAACAGAUGUGGAAGGAACCGUGGACGGCGUGACGGUACUGAAUCAGAAAGCAACGGCUAACUACGUG
rnacentral:rRNA from 1 species